UAAUACAUAUGAGGCGAGCGUUAUCCGGAAUUACUGGGCGUAAAGGGCGUGUAGGCGGCCUUUUAAGUUGGCGGUGAAAGCUCCCGGCUCAACCGGGAGAGGUCUGCCAAUACUGAAGGGCUAGAGGACAGCAGAGGAAGGUGGAAUUCCCGGUGUAGCGGUGACAUGCGUAGAUAUCGGGAGGAACACCAGUGGCGAAGGCGGCCUUCUGGGCUGUGCCUGACGCUGAGGCGCGAAAGCGUGGGGAGCGAAGCGGAUUAGAUACCCGCGUAGUCCACGCCGUAAACGGUGGAUACUAGGUAUAGGGAGUAUCGACCCUCUCUGUGCCGAAGCUAACGCUUUAAGUAUCCCGCCUGGGAACUACGGUCGCAAGACUA
rnacentral:rRNA from 1 species